rnacentral:lncRNA from 1 species
ACCGCCACCAUGUUGGACUGAGCAUCUUGUGCAGCUUCUGCAAAGACAGACCGACUCGAGGAGCUGAAGUGCUCUCGCAGCCGUUUCCCAUCAGGAACUCUGGCCUGAGGCACCAGGUGCAAGGCCUCUGCGUGCGGCCUCCUGUGAGCUUGUGAAACACACCAAGCACAAAGGAAAAGAAACAGGAUCCUGCUGGCAACGGCGUGAUGACACGUUUCUGCUGACAGCUCUGAACUUUCAGGCAGAAUCUCUGUGAAUAAGGAAGAGACAUAUUUCAGAAUCGGAAUGACUUUGAACACAGCCUGAGAAAUCCAAUAUCGUACAGCAGGGAGAUGUCAGCACCGAGGUUCAAGGACAGCUGACGAGGUAGCACGUUUCGUCACCCCACUCUGUCUGGAGUGAUCCCUGCCCUUCUCGCUAAUAGACUCACGCUCUUCUCUCCAUGUGAAAACAAGUCCCAAGCUUUAUCAUUUUCAACAAGGAUCUGUGGACCACUUAGGAUCUGCCAGGCAUUGCCUUAGGAACUGGAAAUCCAGAGGUUACUUUAAAAGCAAAAUCCUUGUCUUCGUAAAAGCAGAUGCACCAUAUGCACCUCCCAAAACCCAGCUGCUCCACUGAAGGUGUGCAAAGCAAUCUGUACUUACGCAGAAAGGAUAUGCCCUUGGCUCUGAUCUUACUUCUCUGUUCAUCUCAGGUUUGCUGUCCGGUCUCACCCUGACUGUAAAUUCCUCAAGGGCAUGAACCACAGCCUCCUUUGGUCUCUCUUGGUGCCACAUAUGGAGCCAUGUCCACCGUGACCACUCAAAACCCAUGACAGGCAUCCAGACACUCAGAUAACCUCCUAGGUGAUGUGCUCUGACACACAGAGAGCAUGUGCCGUUGGGCUUGCUGUUUAUAUUUUUGGAACCUGAGUCAGCAUGCUUGCAUAGAAUGGCCAAGAAAACAAAGCGAGGGGCCAGGCUGAGACAAGACUGGGAAUCUUACUUCCCAAAUUCCUGACUUAAAGAAAACAGUGGGGACGAGACAGGAGUCUCUCACCCAUCAAGAGUGCGUGACUGAGGGUGAUCUCAAAAGGUCUCAAGCGAUCUGAAAUGUUGUUAUUGGUAAGAAUUACGCCUACACAUGAUCAGCGCUUUAUACCUUGCAUUUAGUCAUUCAUUCAAGAACAAACCUCACUGUGUGGCAGAACCACCAGAAUAGGAUGCCUGCCUUCAAGGAUCUGGGCUCUUUGCUGAUUUGAUCUUCUAGGAUCGCUUCAGGACAGUUUGGCAGCCCCCAUCACCCCUGGGGAAUAAAGCCUAAGGUUUCCAACUUCCGACUUUGGGAUUUAACCGCAAAGCAUAGGGUAACAUGAUGAGCUCUUCCAGCUUCGCUGUAUUCAUAAUAGUGUUCAAAGCAUCAUCCAUCUUAGGGGGCAUAAGAGUCAAGGUUGAGCAUAAAGGGAUUCGUCGUAGGAACUGGCUGACGUCAUUGUGGGCAUGGGCUAAGCGUGAGUGAAGUUCCCAGGGAAACAGUCGGGAAAGGUGCCAGUGGGCUGGAAGCCCACGGACAAAGGCUGACGCUGGCUGUCCAUCUGCAGGCAGCCGUGUAGAAGGAUGGUCCAGGGGAAAGGAGAGCACCAGACACCAAGCAGCUGGUCGGCAUCUCUGAGCCCCUUUCAAUAAACGCCUUGCAACUGAUAAAAUCAGGCCGCCCAAGUAACCUCCCCUCUGAUUAGCAGGAAGUCAGCUGAUCAGGGACUUUAAUUAUAUCUGCAAAAUCCCUUCACGGCAACGCAUGCACUGGUCUUCGGCUGAACAACCGGGAAAGAUUUGUGUGCUGCAAAACACCCCCUGCCUCACAAUCCAGCUCCCAAGAGAAUAUCACUCCCAGCCCAUCCUCCCCUGAACUCAGGAGAAAGAGACACAGGGUCAGUCCCUGUUGAGGUGACUCAGCAAAAAGACAUCCCGUGAGGUUAUCAUGAAGCUUAAGGAGAUGGUACACAUAAAAUGCCUGGAGAACACAUAGCAGGUGGAACUGCCAUUUAGCAGAUGAGAAAGUCAAGCUCAGAAAAUAGGCAAAUAGGAGUUCCCGUCGUGGCGCAGUGGUUAACGAAUCCGACUAGGAACCAUGAGGUUGCGGGUUCGGUCCCUGCCCGUGCUCAGUGGGUUAACGAUCCGGCGUUGCCGUGAGCUGUGGUGUAGGUUGCAGACGCGGCUCGGAUCCCAAGUUGCUGUGGCUCUGGCGUAGGCCGGUGGCUACAGCUCCGAUUCAACCCCUAGCCUGGGAACCUCCAUAUGCCGCAGGAGCGGCCCAAGAAAUAGCAACAACAACAACAAAAAGACAAAAAAAAAAACAAAAA